GCUUAAAGGGCUUUGCCAACCCAAACCAUUCCGUGAUUCUAAGAUAUGUUGUUGUUAGAACAGUUCAGAGAAAAGAUGGCAAGAAUACUCCUGAAGAGGUAUUUAAUUCACAUUAUUUUUGUAAAAUAUCUCAACAGUCUGAAAUUCACUGAAAGCCUCAUCUGAGCAAUUCUUCCCACAUACAGUGAUUCAAAAAGAAAGCGCUGAGCAAACAUCUUGCGAGGAAUCUGAAACAAACUGACUGCAGGGGUUUUUUUAAUGCCAACAGUACGCUUGUUUCUGUCCCCUUGGUUGUUAGAAGCCUGUGAGGGAUGUUGGGGUGAGCCGGGAAGCGAAGCCGUGGCAGUACCGGCUGCAGGUGAGCACACAGCGCUGUGGCACUCCGUCAGCUCGGAGCUACGCCAGCCUUUUGUCGCCGUUAACUUUUUUUUCUCAUCCGUGUGCAUGAAUUGCAGGACAGCAGCUCAGCCCCAGGCAGACAAGUGGCCAAGUCAGGGCAAGGCGUGAGAGCAGAGAGGAGGAGAAAGACCAAAGGGCGGGCUGGCAGCCCUGCGGCUGCGACACAACCUUGCUCUCACAGUGCCCUGCAUCCCUAACAAUCCCCAAAGGAAGAGGUUGUGUCUCCCCUGAACGCCAGAGUCUGGUUCAGGGGGUGGUAAUAACUGUUUGGAAAUGACCUCCUGGCGACCGCUGUCUGAGGAGAAGGAGCACGGGGCAGGACGGUGCGGGGAGCGGCAGGAUGCUGGGGAUCCCGGGUGGGGAGAGAAGAGACCCCAAAAACGGUUUUCUCUGCACGUUCUUGCCUUUUGUUUUAUCUUUUCUUUAUCUUUCCAGUGUACUAAGGGAGCAAAGUGGGUAAGUGGGGGAACAGAGAAAAAGCCUUCCAGUGUUACAGAUAACACAGGGUGUUUUUGCAGUGCCCAGGCCUGAAUGAAGAUAGGAAACGGCCAUUUAAGUUGAAACAAAAUAAACAUUUUAAGGCUUUUUCACAAGCUCUCAAAACGUUGAAGAGGAAAGAGUAAAAAAUGGGAACAUUUGUUACAGAGAAUAAUAGGAACAGGCAGGUUCUGUGCAUGCAGAGGGCCCUGCAAAGUGAAGGAGGCUCAGAGUACUCUGCCCGCUGGCUUUGCACUCUAUCUGGUUUUGGGGAGCCUUGGAGACAUGUACGUUGGGAAAGGGAACUGCGAAGGAGCUAGCGAUGGAGAUGGUCAGUUUGAGAACGGAUGCGCUCUUUAAAUAAGACAAAAUGAUAUUUGUCUACUGGAUGUCCGAGCAAUCUUCAGUCUGAAUGUUACACAGCUGUUACAAGGAUAAAAAGAAUAUUUCCAGGUGCAAUUUCUAUAGCUGAGCCCCCAUCAGAAGCUUGGAAAGAGGCUCAGGAUGUUAUUUGGAUUUACUUCACUGUAGCUUUUCUGCACAAACUGAAAUCUGACCCCAUAGGGAGUGGAUGUAUGCAUAUGGGCAGCCCCCCACUGACCAGGCAGAUGCUGUACCCCAGAAGUUACUUGAAAAACCGUGCACAGCACUCUCCCGAAAACUUGGGUGUCGCAAGCUGAGUUGCCCUUUCGUCUGUUGGAGAAGUGAGGUCCUCGUGUUGCAGCUCUGGUGGUCCCUGAAGCAGUGACUCUUGGGGUAGGAGCGCUGGCAGUGCCGCCUGAAGACUUUGAGUCUGCGGUGCAAAUCUGCAUGUCACCUCUUCCUCAGAAGUGGAAUGGCAAGGGAUGAGGCCAUCAGCUCUCACAGCUAGGAAGCAGCACUGCCGAAGUAAACCAAGCAGCUCUUGAGGUCUACCUAUUUGUGGGAAAACUCUUCCAGAGUUCAAGAGAGCCUGAGCCUGAAAAAUCCGCACAACGGUUUAACAAAAAGAGCUCGCUGAGGAUAUUUACGCUCGUGUGCAGGUGAUAUCUGUGGGCAGAGCCUCAUUUUUAUCAGACUUUAAAUGCACACGAUGAAGUUUGGCAAACCAUAAUAUAUGUGUGGGAUGGCAGCCAACCUGGAAGGCCAGGGUGGGACCAGCUCCUCCGCUGGGACCAUGAACCUGGCUGCUGAGCUCUGUAAGACAGCCUGUUCUUGAACCUGUCCUGAAGUGCCAGGUCCUUGUUUUUGCACAGCUCUCUUCUCUGCGCCCACAAGAGAAAUGACCCCCUUUGUCAUCCUUAAUUGUCAUGUGGCGGGGACCUGUAAGACCUGGCAGAGCCCGUUGGCUGCUGUCAGUUUUUCCUCCGUUGAUCAGUUACUGAGGUAUGGGCAUGCUGUAGUCUUCAGAGAUGAGUGACUAUCGCUGCUGAAAGCUCAGAGCUGAUGGAAGGCCAGAAGAAAGACUGCAAUCAUCAAAGAAAUUUUACUAGGUGGAUUUUCAGAGACUUUUUGUAUGAAGGGUUUGUUUAUCCAUGAAAAUGUACUAAGGGUCUGAGAAUGGAAUUAGUGAAGGCUGAGGUUACCGUGCCUCGUUCGUGGCUGAAGGCACUUACCCGUUAGCCCCCACAUGGAAAUAAUCCAUUUGCUCUUUAGAAAGGUGGCAUUCGUAUUUCUCCAAGAUGCAAGAGUGAGUCUUUGUUUAUUCUACGAUAACUUGGCACCACAGAAUCCCUGCAAGCAUGUGCAGGAGGAGGAUGGGAAGUGAGAAGGUUUCGAGGCAGCCUGGUGUGGUCUCCAAGACAAAAUGACCUGAGGAGCUCCUCAAUGUAGAUGAAGUUUUUGAACACAGCAGACCUUGUGGACUUCUCUAUGGCCACAGAGCCCAUCCAGCCCCAUCCUCUGCAGUGACUUUGAAAUCCAGACCCUUACAAGGCAAUGGUAUGACUCGGUAUGUUCAGGGAUUGGUAUUUCAAUCAGAAAUGCCAUUUUUUUCUUUUUAUUUUCGAAGAAAUGAUGUGGCUGCUCUUUGCUCUACCAGGCAGACAGUAGGGAACUGUGAGGUGGACUUUCCAUGAGCCAGUCUAAAAAAGGAGGCCUAAAAAUUGCAAAAUGUUGACAUACAGCCUGCCACGUGCCUGCCUACGGAGUUUCAAGGCCCGUAAAGUGAUGAUCUGGCCUGCUGCCAAAGCAGGCAUAAAGUGCCUGGGAAGCAGAGAGGGAAACCCUUGGGGGAGCGCGGGGUCUAGCUGCCUCCUAGAUAACAAGGUAUUUGCUGUAAGCAGAAAUGGGAAGGAAACCUGUUUAUUUCAGGGAAGGUAACAUUGCUAUUGAAAGCUGAGGGAAACGGAAACUAGGGUGACCGAUUUGGGAAGCGUGGCGUCCUGCAGUUCCCGCAGAGCCAGCGGUGCGUGAGGCUGCUCUCGGAGCCCGGCGUAGGCGAUCUUCAGCCCUCUGAGGUUUUGUGUUUUGCAAAGAGGCACUGCGCUGGCUUAAUCCUUAGAAGGACUUUCCUCUUCCAGGUUCUCCUGAAAAAUAAAAUGCUGAGGUUAGUACAGCAUAUUCCGCUUAACUGGAGGUUAUUUUGUUAGCGUGCUGGUGGCACAGAGUUCAGCGUUUACAAUUUUAAGGAUGUGAUGGGGUGACCCUGGCUGGAUGCCGGGUGCACCCCAAAGCUGCUCUAUCACCCCCUCUUCAACAGGACAGGG